rnacentral:rRNA from 1 species
GAUCAUGGCUCAGAUUGAACGCUGGCGGAAUGCUUUACACAUGCAAGUCGAACGGUAGAGGGGGCAACCCCUUGAGAGUGGCGAACGGGUGAGUAAUAUAUCGGAACGUGCCCAGUCGUGGGGGAUAACGUAGCGAAAGUUACGCUAAUACCGCAUACGAUCUCAGGAUGAAAGCGGGGGACUCGCAAGAGCCUCGCGCGAUUGGAGCGGCCGAUAUCAGAUUAGGUAGUUGGUGGGGUAAAGGCUCACCAAGCCAACGAUCUGUAGCUGGUCUGAGAGGACGACCAGCCACACUGGAACUGAGACACGGUCCAGACUCCUACGGGAGGCAGCAGUGGGGAAUUUUGGACAAUGGACGCAAGUCUGAUCCAGCCAUUCCGCGUGCAGGAUGAAGGCCCUCGGGUUGUAAACUGCUUUUGUACGGAACGAAAAGGUCUCUAUUAAUACUAGGGGCUCAUGACGGUACCGUAAGAAUAAGCACCGGCUAACUACGUG